rnacentral:rRNA from 1 species
UGUAAGCGUAUACCAAAGUUGUUGCAGUUAAAACGCUCGUAGUCGGAAUUUGGCAGUUCCGGAUGUGUGCACGUCGUGUGCGCACUUCGCGGGGAUUGCUUUUGUGGUCUUGCGUAGGAUGAGGCACUUUUAUUAGUGAACGUCCUCACGCAACCACUUUUUCCUGUGAGAAAAUCAGAGUGCUCAAAGCAGGCAUUUGCCGUGAAUGUAUUAGCAUGGAAUAAUAGAAUAGGACUUGGUUCUAUUUUGUUGGUUUGUUGGGACUGAGUAAUGAUUAAGAGGGACAGUUGGGGGCAUUUGUAUUUCGGUGCUAGAGGUGAAAUUCUUAGAUUACCGAAAGACAAACUGCUGCGAAAGCGUCUGCCAAGGAUGUUUUCAUUGA